rnacentral:piRNA from 1 species
UCUAAUGACUGCCAAUACUGCCACCUUCCA